GACGAACGCUGGCGGCGUGCUUAACACAUGCCAGUCGAACGGAAAGGCCCUGCUUUUGUGGGGUGCUCGAGUGGCGAACGGGUGAGUAACACGUGAGUAACCUGCCCUUGACUUUGGGAUAACUUCAGGAAACUGGGGCUAAUACCGGAUAGGAGCUCCUGCUGCAUGGUGGGGGUUGGAAAGUUUCGGCGGUUGGGGAUGGACUCGCGGCUUAUCAGCUUGUUGGUGGGGUAGUGGCUUACCAAGGCUUUGACGGGUCGCCGGCCUGAGAGGGUGACCGGCCACAUUGGGACUGCGAUACGGCCCAGACUCCUACGGGAGGCAGCAGUGGGGAAUAUUGCACAAUGGGCGGAAGCCUGAUGCAGCAACGCCGCGUGCGGGAUGACGGCCUUCGGGUUGUAAACCGCUUUCGCCUGUGACGAAGCGUGAGUGACGGUAAUGGGUAAAGAAGCACCGGCUAACUACGUG
rnacentral:rRNA from 1 species